CCCUGUAGCUCAAAUGGUAAAGAAUCUGCCUGUAAGGCAGGAGACCAGGGAUCAAUCCCUGUGUUGGGA
rnacentral:tRNA from 1 species